rnacentral:rRNA from 1 species
UACGAGAGGGGCGAGCGUUAUUCGGAAUGAUUGGGCGUAAAGCGCACGUAGGCGGUUUAGAAAAUCCGAAAUCGAGAAUCUCAAAGCUUUACUUUGAGAAGUAUUUUCUGUGAUUCCUAGACUUGAGUAAGUAAGAGGAGAAUGGAAUUCCUGGUGUAGAGGUAAAAUAUGUUGAUAUCAGGAGGAACAUCAAAAGCGAAGGCAAUUCUCUGGUACUAGACUGACGUUGAGGUGCGACAGCGUGGGGAUCAAAAGGG